CGCAUCUGUGCAUGCAGCAUAUCAAUAAGCGGAGGAAAAGAAACUAACAAGGAUUCCCUCAGUAACGGCGAGUGAAGCGGGAAGAGCUCAAAUUUGAAAUCUUGAAAGGUCACCUUUCACGAAUUGUAGUUUAAAGAAGUGUUUUCUGUUACGAUCGUAAUAUAAGUUCUUUGGAAUAGGACAUCACAGAGGGUGAGAAUCCCGUCUAUGAUUGCGAUUUGUAGCUUUGUGAUACACUUUCAAAGAGUCGGGUUGUUUGGGAAUGCAGCCCAAAACGGGAGGUAAAUUUCUUCUAAGGCUAAAUAUUGGCGAGAGACCGAUAGCGAACAAGUACCGUGAGGGAAAGAUGAAAAGAACUUUGAAAAGAGAGUUAAAUAGUACGUGAAAUUGUCAAAAGGGAAGCGUUUAACACCAGUGUUGUUUUCUGAAAAUCAACCUCUGUUAGCUUUAUGCAUGUUUGUUUAGACCUAAUCAGCUAUCUUGCAUGUUCUAUUGUUUGCAGUGGUGCACUUUUCAGUUUACAGGUCAACAUCAGUUUUUUUUACCGUAAAAAAGUUAAAGAAAGGUAGCUCAUGGCUCCGGUCGUGAGUGUUAUAGUCUUUUUCCUAUGCGGUAGGAGAGACUGAGGUCUGCAGUGUAGGCUAUUUGGCUAGAUACUCAGGUGCUAUGUGAUACCAUUUCAUAAACAACUUGUUGAUUAUGUUUUGUCUAUUGCAUACUCGCUUGUACUAUCAUACCUACGCUUAGGAUGUUGAAGUCAUCGUAUCGCGC
rnacentral:rRNA from 1 species